ensembl:snoRNA SNORA73 Small nucleolar RNA SNORA73 family
CCAACGUGGACACCCAGUGAGACGCUCUCCUGGCUCUGUCCUGGUGGCGUAUGGGAGCGUAGCUCUGAGCUGAGACGUACAGUCCCGUUCCACAACGUUGGAGACUAAGCUCAGUCCCCGGCUGCAGGCCGUGAGGACGGGCGUCCUGUAUAUUCCUAAACCUUCCCAGAGCCCUUGUGGGCCGUUACUGGGGAGCUAAACCAUGCAGGGCACAAAG